rnacentral:misc_RNA from 1 species
AAGAAAAUAAUUUCUGUUAUUAUUGUUCAAGGAAUUGCCACUGUACAUUGCAUUUGUAUUUGUAUUUAUACUCAGACAAUUCCCUCUUAAACAAUUCCCUCUUAUUUUCAGUUACAACUGAUUAUCAUCAAGCAGCCGAUUACUAAUUGACUCUCACAACUAACUAACCACUUAUUCAGCUUAGCAUCAGCUCAUCAGCUCCCUUAGUCACAACUUGCUCUGCUAAAUGCAACAAUUUUAACAUUCUUAUGUGUAAAAUUCAAGGGAAAAGAGAAGCAUUUGUAGUUAAAUAACAAACUAUCUGAUCUUAUUUAUACUUGCUUGAGCAAAAAUUUUCAAUUUACUCAAGAAACAAAUAGGAUCUUUAUAACUCUCAUUCAUUUCUUCGUUUUUCUUUUACUUUCUUCCGCACAACAUACACUCUUCGUCUAAGUAUGGAAUCUUGGGUUAAUUUUUAACAUUUUGGAAGAUCGCUUGGGGGUGGUAAUAGUGACUCGUUAGGGCCUUUUCCAUUGUCCACCAAGAACGCCAUCUUCAGUCCCCAUGUCGUGUGCACUUCCAGAUGGCAAUGCAUGAACCAGACUCCUGGAUUAUCAGCUCGGAAUCUGAUGGCAGUCCAUCCACCAGUUGGUACUCCAACUGUGUUCCUUUCUGGAGGAUCAACGAGAUUGAAAUUCUGAGGAUCUUUCUUUGGAUUGUAAUUUCCUAAUCCUCUGCCAACUACAAAGAAGUUGAAUCCAUGCAAGUGGACGGGAUGGUUCUCAGGUGCUAUGGUUCCAGUGUCUUGCAUAACGAGUUGAACAGUGGAAUUGUACUUCAACCUGUAAACCUUAGUUCCAUUAGUGGUCUGCAAAUUUGCUGGUCCGCUUCCAGUGUAGUUGAAAACAUGUCGCGGGUUAGCAGGGAAAUCGGUGGUAAAAACGCCACUAAUGUUAAAGAAAUGAGCUUGAAGCAGAGCGGUAGUUGGCAUAACAAACGUGACAUUGUUGAUGCUAGCGACAACCCUACUGCCAUUGCCUGCCUUGCAAGUAGGACAUGGGUUGACGCCAAGCCCAACGGUAAAGAAAAGGCUGUGAUCAAUCUUUGAUGGGACAUUGGCAGGGUAUUUUUGAGAAUUCAGGCUGCGUAGAGAAUUGAUAAAUUUGUUGGCGACUGCAGUGGCGUUCUGGGGGGUUGGUUUGGUGAGGGUUGUGGCGGAGCUACCAAGCGUGCCAGAGUAGUGAAGAGUAGCGGUUGCAGUCCUGUUGUCAACUGCAAUUGGGGCGUCCAUGAAAGGGGAGGCUGCAACUAAGUACUGCCCGGUGUUCUUGUUGGCGGUGACAAGGACAUUAGUAGUCUGGCCUGGGGCAAUUAAGACUGUGUCGGUCUUGAAUGGUUUUACGUAGGUGGCAUCAACUUCCACAACUGUGAGUUGGUGUCCUGCAAUCUUGAAGAAGAGCUCUUCAUUGAGUGCAGCAUUGAUCAAGCGUAGCAUGUAGGUCUUACCACUAUCCACUGCUAAUUUGAAGCGGCCCUGUGAGGGACAAUUUGAGACAGCCCCAGGUUGUCCAUUAAUAGUGUGAGCAUCAGAGACAUUUGGUGCUAGUCCAGAUUUCAGAGCUUCAUUGAUCACUGCUUCAGUAUCAGAUUUCCACCAUUCAGCUGAAAUUCACAUCAACAAAUUUUGUGAAUUACUACUCAAUUUUCCGGUGACAGGAAGAGAGUAAGUUUUUAAUUUUUAGUUUUUAGUUCACCUAACACAACCACCACUUCCUUGUGGGGAGUAGGAAAUGGGUAAGGAACACCCCGCUUAGGCAAGAUAACAAAGCCACCAUGAACAGUGGACCUGAGCCAGAGAAUAUGUGCAUGCCAUAGAAGUGUGCCUCUUUGUCCGGUGAUAGUGAAAUUGUAGACGUAGUUCUGCCCUGGCUGAAUGGGGCAUUGGGUAAUGUAUGCUGGCCCAUCAGCCCACCCAGUUCUCAGUUGCCUUACACCAUGCCAGUGGAUGGAAACAUUAUAUUUGACCUUGUUCACCACCCUUACAAGAACUGUAUCACCUUCCCUUGCAUAGAGAGUGGGCCCUGGGAACCUGCCGUUCACUGUAACAAUCGGUUUGCUGGAGCAUAGUCUGGUGGUAUUUUUCAUCACCACAUCAAACUUGUAACGACGAACCCUGCACUCGACCAAAGCUGGGAGAAGAAGGCACACCACAAGAAGCAGAAAACGAAACUGAGACUCCAUUAGUCCUUUGUUUCCUUUUCCUUUCAAUCGGCGUCUUGUUAUUUGACUUACUUCUUGCUUUCAGGCCUGUUGCCUUCAUCUACGGCCGGCUAGCUCAAGUUUAUAAAGGGCAAAUGGGGUGAUAGGCGAAUUGCUACCAUGUCGUUU